rnacentral:rRNA from 1 species
CGCCUCUUGAAUCUCAUAAGAGGUCCAGCCUGCCCAGUGACAUAAUUAAACGGCCGCGGUACCCUGACCGUGCGAAGGUAGCAUAAUCACUUGUUCUCUAAAUAAGGACUCGUAUCAACGGCAUCACGAGGGUUAUACUGUCUCCUCUUUUUAAUCAGUGAAACUGACUUUCCCGUGAAGAGGCGGGAAUAAAAAUACAAGACGAGAAGACCCCAUGGAGCUUUAAACCCAAUAGUAACCUCUAUUUACUACUACUACUUAAUUAAGAAGGUCUGUCUACUGGUUUUAGGUUGGGGUGACCCUGGAGUAAAACUUAGCCUCCAUGACGAAUAGAACUUAUUCUAAUCCCAGAGCUACCGCUCUACGAAUCAAAAUUUUGACGUAAACUGAUCCGCCUAGCGAUCAACGAACCAAGUUACCCUGGGGAUAACAGCGCAAUCCAUUUCAAGAGCCCCUAUCGACAAAUGGGUUUACGACCUCGAUGUUGGAUCAGGGUAUCCCAGUGGUGCAGCCGCUACUAAAGGUUUGUUUGUUCAACAAUUAAAACCCU